rnacentral:tRNA from 1 species
GUGGGCAUAGCUCAGUGGUAGAGCGCGUGCUUAACAAGCACAAGGGCCUGGGUUCAAUCCCCAGUACCUCCA